UACGAAGGGGGCUAGCGUUGCUCGGAAUCACUGGGCGUAAAGGGUGCGUAGGCGGGUCUUAAGUCAGGGGUGAAAUCCUGGAGCUCAACUCCAGAACUGCCUUUGAUACUGGCGAGCUUGAGUCCGGGAGAGGUGAGUGGAACUGCGAGUGUAGAGGUGAAAUUCGUAGAUAUUCGCAAGAACACCAGUGGCGAAGGCGGCUCACUGGCCCGGUACUGACGCUGAGGUGCGGAAAGCGUGGGGAGCAAACAGG
rnacentral:rRNA from 1 species